rnacentral:rRNA from 1 species
UACGUAGGGUGCGAGCGUUGUCCGGAAUUAUUGGGCGUAAAGGGCUCGUAGGCGGUUUGUCGCGUCGGGAGUGAAAACCAUGGGCUUAACUCAUGGCUUGCUUCCGAUACGGGCAGACUAGAGGUAUGCAGGGGAGAACGGAAUUCCUGGUGUAGCGGUGAAAUGCGCAGAUAUCAGGAGGAACACCGGUGGCGAAGGCGGUUCUCUAGUACGGUACUGACGCUGAGACGCGAAAGCGUGGGGAGCGAACAGG